ensembl:lncRNA
CAAAUUAUUCUCCCUUGCUCUUCAUUUCCAAAUGAGUAAUCCAUAACAUGCCACCAAACAGCAGCCGUGGCAAAACAGCCCCGUUACUCCAAAGCUCACUCAGCACUCGCACCAAGUCUGUUAGAGAUCUGCAGCGGGUUCUGUCCCAAUGCGCUUUAAAGUUCACAAGACCGCUCGCGGUUUUGUCUCGACUCUGACAGACAGGUCUUACUCCCUGGAAAGGGAUUUGAAAGUGAUCCUCUAACACGAGUCUUAACCAAACAUCUCUGUUGGGCAAAGCCAUAUUGAUGGAGGCAGUUCAGGGGAGAUCCAGCAACUGUAGCGGCUGUCAUCGCGCAACUGCUGCAAAUAUCUCGUGUGUAGAGGCAUGGACAAAAAGAAUAUGUUUUGGAAUUCGAAAGGAGACAACGGGUAGGCUCACCACGCUUUCUACGUGUAAUAACUAGUUUCGGCCGAGUUUCCUUCCCAAACUACACACAAAAAAGCCAUCCGGGAAAAAAGACAGGAGGGGAUGGUUUUAAGUGGAACAAAGAGAGCCCCCGGGUAGGUCUCCAUGUACGGAUUAGGGACCAAGGUAUCUGUGCCCACCCAGCAGCAAGCAAGCCAGCUUUACUGUGUAAUCCCCCCCCCCCCCCAUACACACACACACACAGAACAAAUCCACUGCAUCAAGCUGAAUUAAGGCCAAACACUGAGGAGAAAAAGAAGAAAGAAAAAAAAAUCAAGCUUUUAUCACAGCAUACCUCAUCAAUUGGAUCAUCUUCCCGUUUAACUGAUUCGUGCAUAAGCCUUUCCAGAUGAGAAUGUGCAGCUAGGAGCCUUCCCAGAAGCCUCGGAGCGCCCGGCUCCCCUCCGAUACCGUACAUUAGCGCGUGUAAACUGUGACCACUCGCCCCAACCAGCCCCCCCCCUGCCGUGGAGGCAAACAGGUAGAAAGGUAAAAGGUGCAAAGGAAUCUUCUGUGUCGACAUUAGAGGGAUUGGAUUUCUUUUUCAACUCGUGUUGACACCUGUGUCAUGUCGUCUCACUUGUUUUGUGUUACAGAACCAAAGCUUUCUGCAAACUUUAUUUUUGUACAAUAUUCAUUUUAUAACUUUUUACAGAAUUAAAC